AUUGAACGCUGGCGGCAGGCUUAACACAUGCAAGUCGAGCGAGCGGCGGACGGGUGAGUAAUGACUGGGAAACUGCCUGAUGGAGGGGGAUAACUACUGGAAACGGUAGCUAAUACCGCAUACCAUCAGAUGUGCCCAGAUGGGAUUAGCGGGUAGGUGGGGUAAUGGCUCACCUAGUCGACGAUGCCUAGCUGGUCUGAGAGGAUGACCAGCAAAACUGUAACUGCGACACGGUCCGGACUCCUACGGGAGGCAGCAGUGGGGAAUAGUGCACAAGGGGCGCAAGCCUGAGAGAGCCAUGCCGCGUGUGUGAUGAAGGCCUUCGGGUUGUAAAGCACUUUCAGCGAGGAGGCGUUACUCGCAGAAGAAGCACCGGCUAACCCCGUGCCAGCAGCCGCGGUAAUUC
rnacentral:rRNA from 1 species